GGAACCCACCUCACACGGCUCUUGCAUGGAGAAGCUGAGCUGAUGCCUGCAUAGCACGUAGGCCAGAGCUGGGCAGUGGCCAGGAGCAUGAGCUACGACAUUCGUGUGGCGAUGUCUCUUUAAGUGGUCAGUUACACCGGUCUAAAGCACAGAGUUACCAGCCUGGAAGUCUGAAGCUCGGAGAUACUGGGAGAGGUUGUAGGUGUGUGGGAGCCACCCCAGCAGGUGUGGCAGCGUGGCUGCUGGCUGUCCCCUUUAGCUCAUCUUCUUCGCUUAUUCCUCCAAGAGGCUUUUGUGGUUCACCACCUUUGGCUUCUCAGGGGAAACAGUCUACAGCAUGGCUUCAGGGAUGAUCCCAGAGACCAAGCCAACAAAGCUAUAGAGGAAGACCUGGUUGCAUGGUUAGCAGAAUCUCCCGCCCCUCGCCUGGACAGUGGUGGAUGGUCCGUGCUUCUCAUCAGGAAGCCAGUUCUAACAAGAAACCAGAGCCGCACCACAUCACCUCUCGACCCUGCGGAGUAGCAUUCACUGAUAUGCCUGGUAACAAUAUGCUCGCCGGAGUUUAUGUCAAGCUAUAGAGAAGAGGACAUCCUCCCAAAUGGUGUAGGGUGCAGGCAGUCAAUUGUUCUAAAACAGGGAGAGUUGGC
rnacentral:lncRNA from 1 species